rnacentral:rRNA from 1 species
AGUGAACGCUGGCGGUAGGCCUAACACAUGCAAGUCGAACGGCAGCACAGUAAGAGCUUGCUCUUACGGGUGGCGAGUGGCGGACGGGUGAGGAAUACAUCGGAAUCUACUUUUUCGUUGGGGAUAACGUAGGGAAACUUACGCUAAUACCGCAUACGACCUACGGGUGAAAGCAGGGGAUCUUCGGACCUUGCGCGAUUGAAUGAGCCGAUGUCGGAUUAGCUAGUUGGCGGGGUAAAGGCCCACCAAGGCGACGAUCCGUAGCUGGUCUGAGAGGAUGAUCAGCCACACUGGAACUGAGACACGGUCCAGACUCCUACGGGAGGCAGCAGUGGGGAAUAUUGGACAAUGGGCGCAAGCCUGAUCCAGCCAUACCGCGUGGGUGAAGAAGGCAUUCGGGUUGUAAAGCCCUUUUGUUGGGAAAGAAAAGCAGCAGGUUAAUACCCCGCUGUUCUGACGGUACCCAAAGAAUAAGCACCGGCUAACUUCGUG